rnacentral:rRNA from 1 species
AUUGAACGCUGGCGGCAGGCCUCACACAUGCAAGUCGAGCGAGCGGCGGACGGGUGAGUAAUGUCUGGGAAACUGCCUGAUGGAGGGGGAUAACUACUGGAAACGGUAGCUAAUACCGCAUACCAUCAGAUGUGCCCAGAUGGGAUUAGCUAGUAUGUGUGGUAAUUGCUCACCUAGGGGACGAUCCCUCGCUGGUCUGAGAGGAUGACCAGCCACACGGGAACUGAGACACGUUCCAGACUCCUAUGGUAGGCAGCAGUGGGGAAUAUUGCACAAUGGGCGCAAGCCUGAUGCAGCCAUGCCGCGUGUGGGAAGAAGUCCUUCGGGUUGUAAAGCACUUUCAGAGGGGAGGCGUUACCCGCAGAAGAAGCACCGGCUAACUCCGUGCCAGCAGCCGCGGUAAUAC